ensembl:lncRNA
AGCCAACGGAACAUCUGCAAGUCAGAACUCUUGCUAUUAUGAGAGAGCAGGCUGAACUCUACUGACCAGCCUAGGAUAAAAGAGUUCAUUCACAAGACAGGAGAUCGGCCUGAGUCCUCUGUGUAGCCCACAAGAUUAUUCACACAGCAGCUUGCGCCUGAGAAACGAGGAACACACGUAUUGUGGAAUCACUAGUGAUGACUGCCAGGGAACAAGUUUGUCAGCUGAAUAUCCAGGAUUCACUCAUUUUUGGAAAGUGGUGGCAUACAAACCAGUAACUACAAAAUUGCUGACAACUACUGGGGAAGAUCAUUCUUGGAAGUCUGACUGUAAUGUGGAUUGUCAUUCAUGACUCAACCUUCAAGGAUAUACUACAAUAAAAAGAAAAAUACGAAGAAAGCUACUGGGAAAAUUUCA